ensembl:snRNA U1 U1 spliceosomal RNA
AUACUUACCUGGCAAGGGAGAUACCAUAAUCAAGAAGGUGGUUCACCCAUAGCUAGGCUCAGCCAUUGCACUGAGGCUGAAUGCUUCAUGUAACUAUUUAUCAUUGCUGACAUGUUUUGCGAAUUCCCCAAAUGUAGGAAUCUCGUUCAAAUUGCAUAAUUUUCUGGUAGUGGGGAUUCAUUCAUUCAUUCAUUCUCUU